AAUGCUGCCUUAAACCCACAGGGGCACGCAUGCGACCAACAUAGGACUCACAGACUAUCCACCCACACUGUAACGAAUUGCUGUAAAUUUACUGCAGGAUUUCAACAGUAUUAAGGCGUUUUUUUAAAAUGCAGUGCUUUACUGUUAAUAUUAAAGAAAAUCUGUUAAAUUACAGUCCAUUCAGUUUUUUUAACAGAACUGUAAUGUAUUCCUAAAAUACAGCACUUUACCGUAAACGUAUCUUAACUAACACUAUCAUGCAGUAUUUUGGGCAUUCUGGGAAGUGGGAAGAGCAUUGCCCGAGCUGCACAUGUGAACCUGCCAUUCUUGAUCCAUCCCCAUCCUUCUAAUUAUUUGAUGAGUAUAGCAAUUUUAUUUUAUUGUUUUAUAUUAUAUAUUUAUAUCAUUGUUUUAUUUGAUUGUAUUUGUUUUGUUUGCAAUGAUUACUGCAUGUGCACAUCAUGCUAUAGAAGGAUAUACCAGCUAGCUAAAUUAAUUAAUCAAACAUACAAGGAGCACAUUUGAAUUUCUACUAAGUUAAUGUGUGUUGACACCUGCAUUUUGCCAGUGAAUUCAUGAAACUUUAUGAUAGUCUUGUGUAAACAUUUUACCGUCUAAGUCACUUCGACAGUUGACUACAGUGCAUGCUAAUUAUUGUGUGUCACAGUGCAGAUUCAAAUAAAGGCAAUAUUAUUUUCAAGAUAUUUAUUGGAUGACAAAUUAAGUACUGAAGAAUAUUUGUUUUGCUGAGCUCGAUUGACUUUUGACACAUUUCUUUGAUAUUACAGAUGCAGUAGAUGACUUUACUGCUGCCCUACUUAUCAUAGGUUCUGCCACUACAGCUGAUAUUGAGAGGACAAUCGCCAUACCCGAAACACCUCGUCUGAUACUGCUUGGCCUUUCUUUGGAAUAAACCCAGAGAGGCACCAAGACUGGACGAGGCAAAGUCGUAUCCAAGAAAACGGGCAAAGUUACAACCAAGAAGAGUACCACAGUGAACCCACAUGUGUCCACUCUGCUAAGGAGACUCAUGGAUUUUGAGUGGGACUUCAUUUGAGAUGGCACACACACACACGGCUACCUAGGCUGGAUUGAGAAACCUGGUGUCUUUGAAUGAGUCGUAACUCUCCUGCCAAUGUUCUUGGACUUUCGCACUAACAGUAACUACAGUUUUGUAACAUGUACUGUUUAGUGAUGUUCAUGUUAAUUAACAUUCAUUUAAUUAACAUGCAAUUGCUCUGCAUGUGAAGGUUUUGCAUGUCAACUUUACAUUCAAAUAAAAAGUAAAGUGCAAUAAGAAGCUGUGCAGCUUUUUCUCUUACAUUGCAAUCACAGGAUUGAAAAAAUCAGUAGGUUUAUUUUAUUAUGGUUCGCCAUCUGUUUGUAGCCAUGUUUCAAACAGAGACAGUG